GCGAGCGCUCGAGAACGACCUGUCCUGAAGGAGCCUAGGAUCCCAGUGCGCAGGCGCGAUUGGAAAACUUACAUGCCCUCUGCAGCUCAUUCUAGAGAUCCGUCUCCCCUCCAUUUAGUGACGCCUCAGCUAGGAGAUCUGGCUCGGUUGGAAAGUGAGAAAGGGAGAAACUCACUCGCCAAACAACGUCUCGUGGUAUCCUGGCUGACUCUGGCCGCUUCAGCAGAGCCUGGCUGUUCCUGCUGGAUUGUGCUACUGCUACAGAUUCAUGUUUGGUGUUUGCUAUUGAACUGGGCUGCUUAUAUCCUGACACGGAAGAGUGGAAUCGCCCAAAGCAAGUACUUCUAAUCAGGUCCACAACUCCCUUUGCCUUUAACCUUGCUUUUUCCCUACCUCUGGUUGGUGGGCUAAAAGGGAGGGUUAAGAACCCCAAAUAAAGUCAGUUUUGAAAAACCUAAGCUCACACUA
rnacentral:lncRNA from 1 species